rnacentral:rRNA from 1 species
GGUGAACGCUGGCGGCGUGCUUAAGACAUGCAAGUCGAACGCAGUCUUCGGACUGAGUGGCGCACGGGUGAGUAACACGUAACUGACCUACCCCCAAGUCGCGGAUAACUGGCCGAAAGGUCAGCUAAUACGUGAUGUGAUGUCCCCUUUCUGGGGGGCCAUUAAAGGUUUAUUGCUUGGGGAUGGGGUUGCGUUCCAUCAGCUAGUUGGCGGGGUAAAGGCCCACCAAGGCAACGACGGAUAGCCGGCCUGAGAGGGUGGCCGGCCACAGGGGCACUGAGACACGGGUCCCACUCCUACGGGAGGCAGCAGUUAGGAAUCUUCCACAAUGGGCGAAAGCCUGAUGGAGCGACGCCGCGUGAGGGAUGAAGGUUCUCGGAUCGUAAACCUCUGAAUCAGGGACGAAAGACGCGUAAGCGGGAUGACGGUACCUGAGUAAUAGCACCGGCUAACUCCGUGCCAGCCGCCGCCGUAG